ACGCUCGACACCUACGGGAGGCAGCAGUGGGAAUAUUGCACAAUGGGGGAAACCCUGAUGCAGCGACGCCGCGUGGAGGAAGAAGGUCUUCGGAUUGUAAACUCCUGUUGUUGGGGAAAAAGAGGAUGGUACCCAACAAGGAAGUGACGGCUAACUACGUGCAAGCAGCCGCGGUAAUCUGAGCGGGCUGGCAAGGC
rnacentral:rRNA from 1 species